rnacentral:lncRNA from 1 species
CUGGAAGGUAAAGAGAAAAGUGUACACUGACAUAAUCAAUCAUGUAAGUUCGUUAGGAAGUUUGCCAAUUUUGUUUUCAUGUUAAUUUGUUUGAAAUGUUAACCAAGUUAUCCUUUUUCACAGGGGAUCUGCAGCAGGUAUACACGUCCCGUGUGGGCAGGGCCUCGCGUAGAACUUUGCGAUGUUAUCCCCGGGCAUGAUCACGGGCAAUCCACACUCCUUCCCCGCUUUCUCGCUCUGCAAACAACAAGGCAAGGCGCCAUCAAUCAUCAGUCUACAAAGGAUACGGCGGGAAACAAAUACUGUAUGAGAAGUUGAGAGCGUCAGCAGCACAAGACCUCGCUCGGUCUCUGUGUGUGUGGACACGCGCGCCAUGCCCUUGCCCUGAAAGAUCGAAGUUACCAAGAGCAGAGCAGAGUACCCUGAAUGAAACACCUAAAAACAGAAUAAUAGACUUGGAUGAUGUUUGCUCCAAGUGUAGUUUUUAUGUUCAUUGUUCCAUCAUGUUCCUGGCUAGCUAGAACUUGGUUUGUCCAUGUAUGUUUUGUUUUCUUCUCUAUUUUUUUUUCUUGACCAUGCCAGGAGUAUAUGGUCUGAUUUCAUGAAUCUGGAAUGUAUGUUGAUGGCACACGUCAUGGUUCUUUCGUUUGUGUGAAUCAGGGGGUGGGCUGGAGUUCCUU